rnacentral:rRNA from 1 species
CUUUCUUUGCUGGCGACCGGCGCACGGGUGAGUAACACGUAUCCAACCUGCCCUUUACUCGGGGAUAGCCUUUCGAAAGAAAGAUUAAUACCCGAUAGCAUAAUGAUUCCGCAUGGUUUCAUUAUUAAAGGAUUCCGGUAAGGGAUGGGGAUGCGUUCCAUUAGGUUGUUGGUGAGGUAACGGCCCACCAAGCCUUCGAUGGAUAGGGGUUCUGAGAGGAAGGUCCCCCACAUUGGAACUGAGACACGGUCCAA